rnacentral:rRNA from 1 species
AUUGAACGCUGCGGCAGGCUUAACACAUGCAAGUCGAGCGAGCGGAGGACGGGUGAGUAAUGCUUAGGAAUCUGACUAUUAGUGGGGGACAACAUCUUGAAAGGGAUGCUAAUACCUACUACUAAUAGAUGAGCCUACGGCGGAUUGGGUAGUUGGUGGGGUAAAGGCCUACCAAGGCGACGAUCUGUAGCGGGUCUGGGUGGGUGAUCCGCCAAAAUGGGAAGGAAGCACGGCCCAGGCUCCUACGGGAGGCAGCAGGGGGGAAUAUUGGAAAAAGGGGGGAACGCCGGACGCGGCAUGCCGGGUGUUUGAAGAAGGCCUUACGGGUGGAAAGCACUUUAAGGGAGGGAGCGUUACUCGCAGAAUAAGCACCGGCUAACUCUGUGCCAGCAGCCGCGGUAAUAC